UGCGGUUGGAUCACCUCCUUUCAAGAGAAAAGACUAAAGAUUCGUUUCUUUUAGUUUAAGUUGUUCUUUUCCUGCUUAGUUUUCAGAGAUUAUUUAACUUUAAAGUAGGGGCUUAUAGCUCAGGUGGUUAGAGCGCACCCCUGAUAAGGGUGAGGUCGGAGGUUCAAGUCCUCCUAAGCCCACCAGAAAUUGUUCUUUAUUGAUGCUUUUUGCAGAGUAUGAGAUUUUUUUCAGUCAUUACCUUAUGAGGUAGCUCUUUUUAAAAAUUUCUAAUACAACUACAAAAAUCAUUCAAAAAUAAUCAAUUUUAAUUAUUAAACUACCCUAUUAUGGGGAAUUAGCUCAGCUGGGAGAGCGCCUGCUUUGCACGCAGGAGGUCAGCGGUUCGAUCCCGCUAUUCUCCACCAAAAUUAAUGCAUCAUUGGUGUAGUCAAUACAAUAAAAAGAUUCUAAUGUAAGUAUUUAAUAAUCCAUUCUUUUUUAUGCUUAGCAUAGAAUAGGAUUAAAAGAAAGUUAGAAGUAAAAGAAAAACUUCAAACUUCCCUUUAGUGUUUUUAUAAAUCUUUACAUUAGAAUCCUAAAAAAGAUUCUAAAUGUUCUUACACAACUCAUUGUUAAAGCCUAAAAUAAGUAAUAACUACAAUCACGCAAAUAACCAAGAUUGUUUUAAUGGAUUUACAUUCAUUAAGGCAGUGGCGUUAAAGAAUACAAAGUCAGUUAAGCUUGUAAAGGGCAAAUGGUGGAUGCCUUGGGUAG
rnacentral:tRNA from 1 species